rnacentral:rRNA from 1 species
GACGAACGUUGGCGGCGUGCUUAAUACAUGCAAGUCAACUGAAGCAGUGGUAGCAAUAUCGCUGUGGAGGUGGCGCACGGGUGAGUAACACGUAGGUAAUCUGCCUUCAGGUCUGGCAUAACUCCGGGAAACCGGGGCUAAUAGCAGAUGAUGCAGCGGCUCGACAUCGAGACAGUUGUUAAAGCUAUGGCGCCUGAAGAUGAGCCUGCGUCUGAUUAGCUAGUUGGCGGGGUAACGGCCCACCAAGGCAACGAUCAGUAGCUGGUCUGAGAGGAUGAUCAGCCACACUGGAACUGAGACACGGUCCAGACUCCUACGGGAGGCAGCAGUAAGGAAUAUUGCUCAAUGGGAGAAAUCCUGAAGCAGCAACGCCGCGUGAGGGACGAAGGGCUUUUGCUUGUAACCUCUGUAGUGAGAGAAAAAAAUCCCAAUCUUUGGGACAUGAUGGUAUCUGAAAAGUAAGCCCCGGCUAACUACGUG